rnacentral:lncRNA from 1 species
AAUGAUAAGGGAGGGGGUAAUUUGAAUAUUUAAAGGAGCUCUUUCACAGAAAAAGCGUGUGUGUUGGUUUCUGAGCGGAGGGAGAACAAACGCCAACAAUCAAGUGGAUAAAGUUAUCUCCAUCGGCUGUUGGAAAUAAAUAUUCUCAAAGCAGUCGGUCCUCGCGUCUGAGUCUCAUCAAGUACUGAGCAAAACAACAACAACAAAAGGAUCACAACGGGAAAGCAAAGGGAUUAUUGAAGAGACCCCAACAUCUGAAGCUUUGAUUGGGCCUCCAAAUUGCUGCUGUACUUGUACCAUCUCUAGCAGAGGGAAGAGAUCUGCACUCUCAGCUGAAGUCUACUGGGUGUCCUAUAGUCCACCAUCCUGCACGGCACUAGAAGAGAUUUCGGUAAAGAUGUUUGCACAGCUGUUCACACACAGCGAAUAAUUCUCAGGAAUUCUGCAGUUGAUUGAAUUCCAGGGAUAAAUAGCAUAACCCUUCAACAAAAUGGGUAA